AAUAGCAUUAAAAUGGCCGCGGCUCCUGUUCGUGAACCGAGGCGGAGUUCGUGAACCGGAGCAUAUUUUUAUGAACUUUUCUGUUCGUGAACCGAGUUGUUCGUGAACAGAAGCGUUCGUGAACCGAGGUAUCACUGUAUUAUAUAAUUUAAAUUUUUU